rnacentral:ncRNA from 1 species
CCUCGAAACGGCAAACCCGUCGUGAGGCGGGGACGCAAAGCCAUGGGACCCUCGGCCGAACAGCCGGCGGUAUGCCAGGUUACCGAAG